rnacentral:rRNA from 1 species
AUACGGAGGGUGCAAGCGUUGUUCGGAUUUAUUGGGCGUAAAGCGAGUGUAGGCGGUUUGACAAGUCGAGUGAGAAAUCCCGAGGCCCAACCUCGGAACUGCAUCCGAAACUGUCAGGCUAGAGUCCCGGAGAGGGUGGCGGAAUUCCCGGUGUAGGGGUGAAAUCCGUAGAUAUCGGGAGGAACACCAGUGGCGAAGGCGGCCACCUGGACGGUGACUGACGCUCAGACUCGAAAGCGUGGGUAGCAAACAGGAUUAGAAACCCUAGUAGUCC